UCUCUCUGUUCUUUUCUGGGCUCCCACUUAUCUGGGGGUACACUUGGAAUUUCCAUUUCUGGGUGAGGCGCAUCUCUCUUUGACCCUUAAUUCUUCUUGCUGACAGGCUGGGUGGUAGUGGCUGCGCUCCCAGGCAGAAGAAUCAGAAGACAUGGUUUCACUUCCCUACUACUUUCUUGGCCCACUGAUUCCUAUGGGACUUUGGCCAGAUCACUGGACCCCUUGAUUACCGUAUUUUAAAAAUGAUCAUCAUGUCUGUAAUACCAGACCAUUUUUUCUUUGCUGGAGUACAAGACAGUAGGAGUCAUGGCUUUAAAUAUUUUCUCAAUGUACAAGCAAAGUUUGACUUAGAAUUUGGACCCAAGGCUUUUUGAAAAAGAAGUCUCCUGGCAGCCUCUGAGGAAGACAGUAAUGAGAAUCUUUUAUGGAAGAACUUAAUCUAGAAGUAUUUAAACUGUUAAAAGAUGACAACAAAGGAAUGGACAGCAAUGGCUGAUCUGAGCUGUGUCUAUGAAUUAAUCAAGUGAACAGGAAAAAGGAUGCUAAGAUAUAUUGUAUGUGCUAUAUAAAUGUAUGUGCAUAUGUUUGUUUAUAAAUAGUCUUGCACAUUCAUGCCCAAAAAAGGAUUCAUUCCUUCUGACAUUUCAUUGCAAGAAAUGUGAUUUUCUUAGUAAUUAUUUCUUAUCUUUUUAGACUAGCUGUUUUCUUCUUGAGUUGUUUUUUUUUUUCUACCAGACUUUGAAUGAACUUGUCCAUUUUCAGUUAAUAAAA